rnacentral:rRNA from 1 species
AUUGAACGCUGGCGGCAUGCCUUACACAUGCAAGUCGAACGGCAGCACGGGUGCUUGCACCUGGUGGCGAGUGGCGAACGGGUGAGUAAUACAUCGGAACAUGUCCUGUAGUGGGGGAUAGCCCGGCGAAAGCCGGAUUAAUACCGCAUACGAUCUACGGAUGAAAGCGGGGGACCUUCGGGCCUCGCGCUUUAGGGUUGGCCGAUGGCUGAUUAGCUAGUUGGUGGGGUAAAGGCCUACCAAGGCGACGAUCAGUAGCUGGUCUGAGAGGACGACCAGCCACACUGGGACUGAGACACGGCCCAGACUCCUACGGGAGGCAGCAGUGGGGAAUUUUGGACAAUGGGCGAAAGCCUGAUCCAGCAAUGCCGCGUGUGUGAAGAAGGCCUUCGGGUUGUAAAGCACUUUUGUCCGGAAAGAAAUCCUUGGCUCUAAUACAGUCGGGGGAUGACGGUACCGGAAGAAUAAGCACCGGCUAACUACGUG